rnacentral:lncRNA from 1 species
UUGUUUGUUUGAUUUGGUGUUCUUCUUUGAUUAUUUUAUUUUUUAAUCCAUUAUGUUUUGAAAUAUAAUGAAGAAAAACAAUUGCUAUGGAAUUGAAUUUUCGGGUUUGAAUUCGGAUUCAGAUUUUGAUUUGUAGCUGAAUUCCGAUUUGGAUAUGGAUUUUUAAAAUUCGUCGAAUUCCUGUUCUGGUUUCAGAUUUGUAGGGGGU